UCGAGGAAUAAGUUGUUUAGACAUAAAAAAAAUUUAAAAUGCGGAGCAUAAUUUAUGAAAUAUCAUGGUGUGAAAACAUAAACUUAUUUCAUGAAAAGAUUUUGUUACGGGGAGCAAAAAUUCAGGACCAGCCCAAAAUAGGGUAAACGUGAAAAUGAAACCCCACUGUUUAGGCGCUCAUCACAAGACAUUGCUAUCCGCAUUCGACGGUUUUAAUUGGUCGAUGGCAGGCGUUUCCGAACAGGUGGUUGGAAUAUUAUGGAGAAUCCUUGAAGUGCGAGAUCUAAAUGCAUACAAAGAGAUAAUGUUGAAAGGGAAGGAGUUUGAGGUGGGUCAUAAUUCUUUACUGUUUAUUUAGUUUAUAUUUGUCCCCUGUGCAUGUGACACUUUUAUCACAAACCUGGAAGAUCAUGAAUUCCAUCAUCAGGUUCAGUAAGCAUGAUUAUUUUCGACAAUGCUGAAGGUUUUUUUUCUACCUUCCAUCAAACAAAAGAAUAAAUAAACCUUUAAUAAAGGCCU